GAUAACACUCAGUUAAAAGCUGACUCAGAAUGACCUCACCCACUUCAGCCCUCUCUGUCUCCCACAUUCACCAUGAGCAGGACUGAGUGAUGUGGAAACAGGGAGCCAACAGCAGGUUGUUAAACUGCAAUCAAAAGCACUUAGUAGGAAUGGAUCUGUCCCUAUUAUGAGAUUUGAACUCCUGACAUCUUUAUCCAGUGGAACUUGAGUGCCCAGGACACAACCAAGAGGGGAUUCUGAGAUCGUUUUUCAACCCCUGCGACUGUGAGCCAGUUGCAGCAUGAGGAAAAGCCCUCCAACACCCCAAUGUACAGGAAAGAGAAGACAGAUGACAGUAGCUGUCCUCCUUCAAUACUGAGGAAAAGGCCACCUGUGGACCAGGCUGUGGGGGAAAAGCGGAAAGCAGAGAGAAGGGUUCGAUUUCGUGAGCCGGAAGAAGUCAUUGAGCAUGUUAUUUCCUGCUGUGACUACGUAGUGGUACAUGACAGGUCUUCACCUGGAUUGCCUAUGCUCCUGGGGCUAUCAUUUUGUGUGGUACUGAUCCUGGCUGCAAGUCUCUUCUACACCAGCAUGAAGCAAGAUACCAAAGUCCUGGAAGAGUUUCAAUCCCGACUUGUUAUCUUCUUUCUUCAGAUAAGACACAUUGCUCAUAGAUGCUGGACCUGGUUUACAAGGUAGUAGCGAUGUCCUCCAUUUGCAGGAAGGCAGCACUGAUAAUCACCACGUGUCAGAGAGAACCUCCCAGCCCCCUCAGUCCACACGUAAGGAACACAUGAGUAUCCACCUUGAAGAGCAAAAAAAGCCACCCAUUUUGUGCACUUUCUAACAUCUACUUGUUCUCUCUUUUUUAAAAUAUAUAUAUUUUUUAAUAUUUCUGAAUGAUAGUAGUAGCACUAAGAGGUCCCACCAAACUGAUGUUCCAUCACCCUUAGCAGCAAACAAGGGUAUGAGUUUAGUCCCCUGAAGAGACUAUAAACUGUUGCUAUAAGGAGCAGAGGCAGAGAGAGAAAUUCAUUGAUCUGUGCACACAGAAGCACAUUGAAUAGAAGUCUCCUGAGUCUCAGGUCAAAGAAUAAACACCAAACCAUUUUUCUCCUCAAGCCUCUUACGUGCUAUUCUGCAAAGUUUAACAUAAAGCUGAACUAUUGCACAAACACUGCUCUGCUGGCCAAAGGCUUGGCAAGCUGCUAUAUUUAUAUACUUGAAAUGAUUGCUAGUAAAAAUCUCAGCAAAUGGCUUUCUUGUUUCCCUUCAUGCAUUUUUUCCUCUGUGGGCAAAAGCUGUUCCUUAAUGUUUCACUUGACUCCCAGGUGUGAAAAAUAACGUGAGAACUCAUUUAAAUACUAAACAGUGCAUUUGCCUAACACAAUACAGGGCAGCAUUGAAUCCCAGGUUAAUUAUCAAAUCAGAACUUAAUCCUCUUGGUUUGAUUCAGUCCAUAAACCCAAGAUUUAUGGUUGUGUUUGUCUUCAGUCGAAGCUUUCACAUUUAUGCCUGCAUGUUCAAGGGUAUUAUAGACUGUUUACAAAGGUGUUGGGUCAAAGCCCUGUUAUCUCUGUUGUAGCACCAUACAGCGUACCUCUCUGGAGGGAACCAAGCAUAUGCAAUCUUAUGAGCUUCAGCUAUGCUUUGUUCUUAGAAUCACAUAAUUGCUCAGGUUGGAAAAGACCUUCAAGAUCAUCAAGUCAACCACAGACAGAAACAGCAUGAUCCAUUUUCCAGGCCCUACAUUCUUGUCGAGUAAUACUUGAUAUAUGCAUAAGGGUGACAGCAGAGCCCAUAGAAGCUGAAGAAAAGAAAGGAAACAGUGGAGAAGAGGAAAGAGAUGCCUGCAAGACCUUGGCUUUAACUCCUCUGCCACAGUAAUGCACCAGAAGGAAAAAAAAAAAAAGAUUCCUAACCAACUUUCAAAAAAAGCAAGCUUGUCCAGGCUGCCCAAAAAUUUAAACCAGACAGAGGGUAAAAGAAAACCAAUUACAUAGCCUCCACCUAGAGCAGAGUGGGCAGCAAGUUGACCAAUAACGAGUACAAAUAUAUAUAUUUGUAGACAGUAAGAAGUGACUUGAGCAGCUAUUCUCAUGCUCUGAAGGCAACAGCAAUUGCACCUGGGGAGCUGCUGGUCUGGGACACACAGGGCACUGCAGGAGCGUUUGGCUCAGUGGCUCUUUAUGCAAACCACUCAUGCACCCCAGCCCUCAGGGUAAGUCCCCUGAGGCUUCCCUGCUCUCUCUCUCUCUCUCUCUCUCUCCACUCAGCCCACUGUUGAGAUAAUAAAGAAGAGGUUUUAAACUUAUGCUCUGGUGAAUCUAUGGUGGGAAGGUUUUUUUCUGAAGAGUCAGUUCCUGCACUGCAAGUUGUGGUAUACUGCAACAUAGAAAGGCAAGGCCUGACAGGAGCUGGAUCACUUAGCGGGAGAGCAGUACCACAAAUCCUUCCUGCGUGCUUCAAUGCAGUUUCAGUAACUUGAAAAGAAGCCAAGGGGUUAAAAUUAACCAGGAACUCCUUUUAGGACUGUGAGGGAUGAUAUGAAAUCCAUAUGCAUGUUAAUAUGCAUGGGGCCUCCUUCUUCUAGCCCUGGUCAAGGUGGAAAAUAGCCACGCUGACCUUGCUGUGCCCAGGUUUAUCUGUGUGAGAGGCCCACACUGAGAAUGGCUAUCACAUCCAGGUUGUCAAGGGAAAUAAAGCAGAGGAGCAGCUAUUCCUGGCUCCGGCUAGGACAGCUUUGGGCACAGGCAAUAGCAGCACUUGAGUUGUCUGCAGCUUCCCCAUGUUUUUGGGAGGCUUCCUGGGCCGGGAUUCUUUGCUGCAAUCAGUCAGGUAUUUGGCAAAAUGCAGAGAGCCAAAAGAAUGCAUUGUAGAGUACCAGCAGACAGCCUGAAACAAAUAAAAGCUAAAAUCUGUCCCUGGGAGAGCAGUGACCUUUUACAGCUGAAGAAUCUGCAGCUGAGAAAGCCAGUGCCUCUGUGCAAGUGAAUGAAGCAGGUCAAUAGCCAGGGUGGAAAUAGGAGUUAAAGUCCUGACCUCUAGGCCUGCCUUUAGUUACCAAUGCACAGCUCCACUGUAGACUUACCUGUUUUAUUUUCUCCUUGCACUGAAGCACUUGUCCCCUCAAACCAUUCUGCUUACACACAGCACCAUUCUCAUACUCUGUUCUUUAUCCAUCACACAUCUGUGCAUACUGCUGUGAGUCAGAGAGGGUUUCUCCUUGCUCUUGCUCAACACUGCUUUCUUAGGUGUGACACCUUGGUGAGUUUGGAGGAGAUGACCUCUGAAUUUAUACAGAAUGGGUUGUGUUGGUUACUGUUUCCCUUGCAGGCUGUGCUGGGUAAUAUUUUCCUCCAGUAUGACUCCUGAGAAUUGCUUUAUAAGGAGGAAAACAAACGGAGAGGGAUGUAAUAAUGAUAAUGUAAUAAAUGGUCAAACGUUCACAUGAAUUCACUGCGGUGCCAACAUGAAGACUAACUAAAACUCAGCUAUCUCUGAGCAAUUAUUUAGUCUAUCGUGGAAAUGUCAUUUUUUUGCAUCAAGUUGCAGAGAGGAGCGACAGACUCUUGCAGCAAGUUUUGAAGAAGGCUGCAAAUAAGUAGGCUUGCUAUGAGCACUGUCUGGAUUGGUAAGAAUCCAAGGGACAGAAGAGAGCAGAGAGUUCUGUGCACGAAAAGAGGCCUAAGGGCAGAAGUGCUCCUUACUAUCCUUUAUGCAAUGGGUGUUAAAUUCAUGCAUAGCAGGAAUCAGCAGAUCAUGGCAGUGUUGUUCUGACAAUGUGCAGUGCAUUCCUGCAGCAGAAACAGAGGGCAGCUGCCAGCACCCUCUUCAGGCAGGCUCACCCCAUCAGCACCACCUGAUUGCAUUAGCUGGCAUAGCCAUUCCCAUAUGAUUACAGGAGGUAGAAAAGCACACAGUGAGAUGACACUAGAUUUUUUGUGUGUUAACCUCUUAACACACUUUGCAUUCAUGUUUGCAGCUCCAAAGUCUGCUUCUAGUCCUGCUCUACUGCUUCACCUCUCCAGCACUGUGAGUCUGGAAACAAGUUAA
ensembl:lncRNA